GGCUGGCCCACAGAUCUCAGUUUAGAGAAGCACCACGCGCACACUGAGAACAUCGACCUUCCACGAGGGAGCUGGCUGGGGAGGGUGAAGCGCUGAACUCAGGAAUCCCUCCUCCAGGAGACGCCCGGGAAAGCAGUGCAGAUAUACCUAUUGAGAAGAUGGAAGACUUACUUUCAUCAUCUGAAUCAAAUCCAAAGAGUGCCUGACAUUUCUUUUGUGCAAGGCCAAGGUCUUUCAUGGGGCUACCUGAGGAUCUGCUUAAAGACCCAACUUUCCUCUUAAGUUGGUCCAAAGAAGCAAAGGAAUGACCCAGGACAACACAAAGGAAAUGGAAAUUAAAAGCUUUUAAUAUGAAAGAAAUCUAAAGGAAGAGACAUCAAGUACAACCUGGCACCUGGGGCUGCCAUCCAUGGAAAUCUGUAAACAUUACAAGGCAGAAAUUCAAAUACAAUUUUCAACAAAGUAGAAUGUUCAGUUUGCCACCAGCUCCACUAUGGCUCUAACCAGAUGAUGCUGAUGGGGUCUCAUACCAGAGAACAUAUCCAUACUGAAUGGAGGAUACUGCUGAAAUGAUGAGCUGACCUGUCAGAGAAAUAGAAAAUAAGCAAUCUGAGGUAAAGAGAGAAAAAAAUAAAAGAUGGGGAUAGCUAACAAGAUGAAAGUGGAAGUUAUCGAGUAGGAUUUAGGACAAGAUGUUUUUGGCAUACCCCAGAGAUACCCUGUUCCUGCUACUUGGAACUCAGAUGUGGCUGGAACUCCACCAACCAUCUUGGACCAUGAGGCAACAUUGAGAUAAGACAGGGAUGACUGAUAAGAAUGAGUAGGCAAUGAUGGUACAAUUAUGAUAAAGCCAUAAUAUCAUCCCUACACUAUCCAUUCAAGACUUUUCACAUAAGAAAUAAAUGAGUACUACUGUUUAAGCUAUUUAAGUCAGGUCUCUAUUUAGCAGCAAAAUGCAAUUACUGAUAUUUUAAGUCUUAUAAGACUUUUUUUAGUUUCACUUUAUUUAUUUAUUUUUAAGGCAUUAUUGAUAUAUAUACUCUUAUGAAGGUUUCACAUGAAAAACAAUGUGGUUACUACAUUCACCCAUAUUAUCAAGUCCCCUCCCAUACAACAUUGCAGUCACUGUCCAUCAGUGUAAGACUUUUUAAACUUAAGUGCAUGUAAAAAUUUAUAAAAAUUUAAGUAAAUUAAAAAAUAAUUCCAAUUAAUAGGAGGAAUUGUUAGAAAUGUAUUCUUAUACCAUAAUGAACUACUCAAAGCACCAUAAAUACUAUGUAAAUUCUAUACCAAGACUAAGUGACAAGGAUUAUAUUUUCCUAAAACAAAUUUUUAUCUCUCAAAGUAAGAGAUAUUAAAGCAAACUUGUUUUUCUGUUAGAUUGUCUCUUCAGUGCCUAUUAAAAUGCCUAGUACACAGUAGUUGUUUAAGUAUAUUUGAGGACCAACAAAUACUUUUUUGCCAUUUGCAUGAGCAUUACAAGGUAUCCACUACAAGUUCCAAAGUGACAGUAUAGUGGAGUGUCUCAAGUUCUGCACUACUAAUAUUUUGGUCCAGAUAAUUCUUUGUUGUUGGGGCUGCCCUCUGUACUGUAGGAUGUUCAACAGUAUCCCUAGCCUCUUUUCACUAGAUGCCAGUAGCAGCAUCGCCCCCUCCUCCAUUAAAAUAAUCAAAAACAACUCUAGAUAUCACCAAAUGUCCCCUACAGGAAACUAAAUCUCUGAGAAAAUGUAUUUUGGUACAUCAUUUAGUAAUUAAUCAAGAGCAUUAGACUUCCCUAGUAAAAUGACAGAGUUUUAGAACUGUAACAUUUCUAAGUUUUCUCUAAAGUUUACUGUGGGAUACAAACUGUAAGUGACCUACAGAUUAGAUUAUCUCUAAUAUCCCCCUUAAACCUACAGAGAUUUCACAUGAGAGACAUAUUAAUAGCUUCCAUUUAAGCCUACCUAUAUACUAGGUAUAGUACUGAGCACUUCAUGCUCAUUUCCUCAUUUUAUACUCAUGACAUCCUCAUGGGAUGGCUAUAAAACCCACUGCAGGGAGAAACCGUUUUAUAUUUUAAUCAACAUAUCAAAGUGUUUCCAGAUAUACUUAUUUAUCUAUAGUACUAUAUUCAUUCUGGCACUGAACUAAGAAGAAAAUACCUUAACUUGCUUAAUUUAAUCAAUUUAUUAUCACAACAUUUCAAUUUAUCUAAGAACAAAAUAAGUUGAAUUAUUACAACGUUCAAGAUUUGGGGAAUGUUUGUAGCAACUAGAAAGUGUAAAAAAUAAUAAUUAUCUGCUUCUUCUAAUACUUUUUACACUGUGGCAUAAUGAAAGAGGACUUUUAAAAUUUUUCAUCCAUGAUUCCGAGUACUUCCAGUAACUUUGUUUUUCCCUUUCCACAAUUUGCCAAAAAACAAAAACCUCACUUUAUAAUUAUUUGAGGAUUAUUUGUAAUUUCAAUCUGUCUUUCAGUAGAAAUUAGUAGAAAAGGCUGGGUUCAAAUCCUAGCUUGUCCACCACCAAAACUGAAGACAAUUUAACUUGUUCAGACAUCUAUUUCAAUAAUGUAACUUACAUAAGACUUAUCUGAAGGCCUUAAGAGUUAGUAGACUCUCAAUAAAAAUUACUUUCCCUUCCUUUUAUCCUUAAAGCAAAUUAAAUAUAAUUUAAGAGCCAAUUCUACUUAAGCAUUUGCUGAGUCUACCAAUAAGAGCCAAUGGAGAUGUGAAGGGGCAGUAGACCAAUGUUACACCAUACAACUGUUUGUAAAUCAGCACUUCCAAUCUCCCAAAUCGAUCAACUCAAAAAUCAACUGAAGCUUAAGAAACUAUUCUCUUAGUUUAAGAUUCUAUAAUUACAGGUAUCAUUUCUCAAACAGAAAAGUUUGUCAUCAAAUGUAUUGAGUGUAUGCAUAAUUUAUCACAUUAUCUAUUAUCUUCUGCUUUACUUUUCCUUAUGGUUAAAGGACCUCUCUUAAAAAGAAGUAUUUCUUCCUCUCCCCCUUCACCCACACAACUAACUGCCAAGAAAUUUUGAUCAUAUUUCUCUCUACAAGGAGGAAGAUAAAUUGGAGUCUUUCUUCUUAAUGCCACAAGCCUCUACAUAUAAUUCGUAUUAUUUAGUUAACUGCCACCCACCCAAGUGCAUAUUACCCAUUUCAUGGAUUACUCAUGAUUAAAAAGAAAAAAUCUUUGAGAAUUAGAUUAUAUAAUCCACUGCUUCCCUUGCUGAUAUAUAAAAUUGAACUACUAUACAGAAUUUUAUUAGUCAAUGAAUAAAAUUCCACUUAAUACAAUCUUUUAUUCCAUCUUAAAAGUUUUAACACAAAAAAAAAGACUUUCAAAGCUCACCUGCAAGGUGGAACCAGGACAGGAACCCUAAGAACAGAUCUAUUAUUCAUCUAGAGUAUAUAAAAUAUGUAAUGAGGUUUCAGGUAAAAGUUGGAAACAUGAAAGUAUGGUAAUGUAACAACUCAAUACAGCAAUAUAAAAUAUAAGUUCAUGAAGUUCUUCCUGUUUCAUUUUAUCUUGGAGAGUUUGGUAGUAGUUUUACGAAAGUCAACUUCAUUUGUUCUUUACAUAACUUAGAAGUAUUUAACAGACAAAAUUUAUUCAUUUGUUCUUAAAACUGAUUUCAAGAAAUAGAGUAAGAAUAGUUCUCCAAAAAUGCUCUGGUCCUCAAAUAAAAUGUCCAAGUCUACAGCAAUUAAGGGUUAUCUGAUCAAAUAAAUUGACAAAGCUAAAUGUAACCAAAACCAAGUUGCUCAUUAAUGAUAUAAAAGCAAAACACACACACAAACUUUCUGCCUAUAAACAUAUUAAAACAACCAACUGUAACCUGAUUUUCAGAAGUUUAAAAUUCCUGAAGAUACAAAGUGCACCAGUAACAUAGUUCCUAGAAUUCAAGUAUAUAGUUAGAAGUACUGUAAAGAUACUGAACCUCUAAGCAAUGAAUGCUAAUAUCCCCAAAAUUAAGAAGACAUUUUCAAUAAAGUCACUAAACAGCAGUGCCAAGGAAAACUGGCACACUUUUUAUACCAAGGCAAUUUCCAACCUUCCAACCAACUUAUCUUUGUGGGUUGGGGGUGGGGUAUGAAAUCAAAAGACAGUUUAAAGUAUUAAAAACUUACCUGAAAAUGUCAACACCACCUUUUUUCUCUCAAUGUUUGUAAAGGCAUAAAAUUAAAUUUCAGCAAACAUGAUGCCCACUUUUUGUUAACUUUAUAUCCUUUUUACCAGAAUAAAAGGAACAGCAUAUUUUAAUUAACAUGUAAAGGAUCCAAGCCCUUUGCAUAUUCACUCACUUAAUUACUAUCCCUAUUUAACAGAAUAGGAAACUAAGGCACAGGGAGAUUAACUUGUCCAAAUUAACACAAUAGGAAGGAGCAGAGCCACGAUCUGAACCUUACAUAUUCAGGAUAAUAAAGGAAUGGGGUGGAAAUGAAAUAAAAAUUUUCUGAAACAGCUUGCAAAACAAUGUUAUGAAUGAGAACAAAAUGUUUAAACUAUAAAUAUAUGUAGAUGUAAAAACAGAUUACAGAAAUUUUAUCCCUAGACAAGUACUUUGGCGCUAUAAUAUUUCAUUAUGGUCAGACACUAAACUACAUCAAAUCGUAGUGGCAGUCGACCAAGUAAAGGAUUUACUGUUACUAUUUGGACACUGUAUUUUACAGGCUAAAUAAAAUACAAUGAAAUCUAAAAGAUGAGUGGGGGGGUGAUGUAACCGAAGCAGUAGUUUAAGGAAAACUACUUUCUCUUUUAGCAGUUAAUUAGAAAACUGUGUGUGUGUCGAGAAAAGGGGAUAAGAAAAGGAAAGAUGACAAUCACACUGCCUUAACCCCACCUCCCCCAAAAAGUAACUAAAUCACCUCGGGCCAACGCCUAAGCCAACCGGAGAACUGACCCAGCGGGAUCUCGUAAGGGGAUGACAGGAGACCCUAGCAGAGGGGGAGGGGUGGCGAUGACAGGAGAGGGGGCGGUAGAGAGAUCGCCUGCCUCCCGUACCCGAAAAAGGGGAGAACACAGGGGGCAAGGGGCGGAGAAGAGAAGGCAGGAAAUGUUGCCAGAGAUUCCAAAUGAGGUGAGCAGGGACAGGGUAGGAAACACAAGAAGGCGGGACCCUCUGGCAAAGAAGGGUCUGGUCGGGGCAAGGAAGGCAUGUCAGUACAGAGCUUCCCUGCCGGCUGACCUUCCUUCCCUCCACCCCCGACAAACUCUCACUUUCUCAGCAACCCUAAACCCGUGGGUCCCGCUCCCCGCCCCACACCCAAACAGGAUGGAUGGAGGGGGCAGCUUCACCCUCACUCUCCCUGUGGGGCUGCUGCAGCGAGCAACGGACACAGCCUUGAUUCGAGGACCAAAAGGGCAAGAGACGCAGGGAGGCCCAGGUCCAGGGUGACAAGUCCGGGCGGCCGACA